AAGGUAGCAUAAUCAUUUGUUUUUUAAUUAAAAACUGGAAUGAAGGAGGCGACAAAAUACAAUCUUUUGAUUUAAAAAGUUAAUUUGACAUAAGAGUUAAAAGGCUCUUAUCCACCUGAGGGACGAUAAGACCCUAUAAAACUUUACUUUUCGUUAGUUUUUUUAGAAUAAAAAUAAAAUAAAAGUUUAACUGGGGCGGUUUUUACUAAACCUGUAAUAACUUAAAUAUAAAAAAUAAACAUAUAUAACUUAUUUAAAAAUUUAAACAAGUUACUUUAGGGAUAACAGCAUAAUCCCCUCGGAGAGUCCAAAUCGGGGAGGGGGAUUAUGACCUCGAUGUUGAAUUGAGAAUAUUUUUAUUGGGCAGCCCCAUAAAGAAUUAGUCUGUUCGACUAUUAAAUUCUC
rnacentral:rRNA from 1 species